rnacentral:rRNA from 1 species
AUGACGGACUCAGCGGCUUGCCCACUUUGCCAAGCGACAGUGGAUACGUGGAGACACUCUCUGUUCGAUUGCCAUAUGUCACGUUGUGUCUGGGCUCUGGCUGAUGAGGAACUGAUAGAAGUAAUGAUCUCAAACCAAAUAGAGGAUGCUCGUUUGUGGAUGUUCUGGCUACUGGAUACUCUAAAAGAGCAAGAAGUUGUUCAGAUUUUGAUCACAAUGUGGGCCAUAUGGUGGGCGCGGCGCCGUGCUAUCCAUGAUGAGCAGUACCAAAGCCCCUUGAGCACUUCGGUUUUCAUCAACAAAUUUCUGUCCGAUCUUGAUUGCAUGGCUGUGCACAAGACACGCAUGAGGGACUUGCAUGCAAAGCCAAAGGACCUGCAUGUAACAGCGGGAAACUCGAGGACCAGAGCGACAGCACCUAGUUGGCUUCCUCCAACCGAUGCAGAAGCGAAGCUAAACAUUGAUGGAGGCGUGUCCAGAUCAGGUAGAAGGGGUGCAGCAGCUGUGGUCUGUCGUGACAGGGCGGGAGCUUUUCUUGGAGCCUCAGCCAGAGUUUUUGAGGGUCUCACGGAUCCGCCCUCGCUGGAAGCACAAUCAUGCAAUGAAGCCCUUGCUUUGGCGAUGGAUCUCAACCUCAACUCUAUAUGCGUGGCCUCGGAUUGUGCUGUUGUUAUUUCCAUGAUAGGCUCAGAUGUCCCCUGCCAGUUUGCCUCAGUUUUGAGUGAGAUAAAUCAUAGGGCUAGUUUUUUUCCUACUAUCCAUUUUAUUCAUGAGAAUAGGAAGCAUAAUUUCGAAGCGCACGCUCUUGCAAAAGCUGCGGCUUCUUUGUCUCCCGGGCGCCACCUGUGGCUUCUAAAUACGCCCGACAUCAUCUGUAUCCCUAUGAACAUCCAGAUUUAA